UCUGGGAGAGGAUUGUCAAAACUUUUUUUACCUAGAUCGCGUGCAAGCCCUUCCCUCUGCUGAGAUCCCUGAUCCCACUGUGGUCUUAUCCUGCAGUAGUUCUCCAACCUCUGCAUCUACGGCCUGGGCAUUUCUUCAACCUGAGCCCCUGAAUUUGCCCCAUCACUGAACUCUCCCCACAACCUACGGACUCACUUUCAAGGACUCUUCAUCUCAUGUUCCCACUAUUUAUAGUUUAUUUACUUAUUUGUAUUAUUUUCUUUAGUAUUUGCACAGGUUGUUGUCUUUUGCACACUGGUUGUUGGUUUUUCUUGUUGGAUGGGUCUUUCAUUUAUUCUAUUGCGUUUCUUGGAUUUACUGAACAUGCCCGCAACAAAAUGAUUCUCAGGGUUGUAUAUGGUGACGUGUAGUACCUUGCUAGUAAACUUCCUUUGAACUUUAAGCAAACCUGACUCCAUUCGAUCAUGCCCGGAAUCUGCCCAUUUCUAGACUCUACAACCUCGAAAUUCUUUCCCGUAUUUACCACCUUUCUCCCCUCGUUUGAGAAGUUCCAUUGAAUCAAAAUUUUUGCUCCAGCUUUGGGCAUUUGUACCGAUGUCGCUUUUGGCUUUGAUGAUAUACUGUUGCAAAUACGUAAUCAUAAUCAAACGUGUUUUUUUUAAAGGACUGUUGGAUUAGUAGAAUCCUUUUGACAAUACCCAUGAUAUUCUAAAUGCAUCAAGCCCACCAAAGAUUCGCUAUAUAGUAGACAACUUGUGGACAACUGGAAUUCAAAAGAGCAGUUAAAUAAAAUAUCAGGGGAUGAAGAAUGGAUAGAACACUAGAGAAAUAUGCUUAAGAAAUGUGGGCAGUUUUUCACCAGUGAUCCAUAGUUGAACAAAUGGACAAACGCAAGUUGCUGUUCCCGCAUUUGAUAAACCUCCACUCAAAGAAUCUGUAACAUUCUUUGCUAAAUGAGAUGGAUUGUGUAACUGGAUUUUUAGGAAUGUGCAUAUGCAUCAAUUACUUUGUUCUGGGACAGAGAGAGAUAGAGAGACCGAGAAAGACAGAGAGAUAGACAGGGAGCGGGAUGGACAGUGAGAGAAAAAUAGAGAGAGACAGAGAAAGAGAUAGAUAGGGAGAGAGAGAUAGAGCAAGAGAGAGCUGGGAGAGAUAGACAGAGAGUUGCAUACAGAGGUAAUUUUACAGCUAUAUAGGACCCUGGUCAGACUCCACUUGGAGUACUGUGCUCAGUUCUGGUCGCCUCACUACAGGAAGGACGUGGAAACCAUAGAAAGGGUGCAGAGGAGAUUUACAAGCACGUUGCCUGGAUUGUGGAGCAAGCCUUAUGAGAAUAGGUUGAGUGAACUUGGCCUUUUCUCCUUGGAGUGAAGGAGGAUGAGAGGUGACCUGAUAGAGGUGUAUAAGAUGAUGAGAGGCAUUGAUCAUGUGGACAGUCAGAGGCUUUUUCUCAGGGCUGAAAUGGCUGCCACAAGAGGACACAGGUUUAAGGUGCUGGGGAGUAGGUACAGAGGAGGUAUCGGGGUAAGUUUUUUACGUGGAGAGUGGUAACUGUAUGGAAUGGGCUGCCGGCAACGGUGGUGGAAACAGAUACAAUAGGGUCUUUUAAGAGACUCCUGGAUGGAUACAUGGAGCUUAGAAAAAUAGAGGGCUAUGGGUAAGCCUAGUAAUUUCUAAGGUAGGGACAUGUUCGGGACAACUUUGUGGGCCUGUAUGUUUCUACGUUUCUACAUUAGAUUACUGCAUAUGCGUACAUUAUACAACCUUGAGAUUCAUCUCCUCACAGGCAGCCACAAAACAAGGAAACCAAAAAGAACCCAUAAAAAAAGACCAUCAAACAUCCAAAGCUCACAGAGAGAGAAAAAAAUCAAAUCGGGCAAACAAUAAAAAUUAGCGACUGGCGUCCAGAGCAAGAGUGAGUCCGUAGACACGAAGCCCGGAGCAGCUGGAGCAGACCACAGCCUCAGGCUCAGUUCAGUGCAGAGCCGACUACACAUCGCAGAAUGGAGACAUGACGUGUAACAGAUAACACAAAACAACCCACGGUAGUGCAAGAGGUGGUCUGUAGUGUUUCACUCUUGGGAGAAAACCUCACUUUGACACUCAGAUCUUUUGUCUGAGCUCUGAAAAGGAACAAACAUUUAUAGCUUCCUUCAACUAAACAAGAAACCACCUCACUGCCUCCCGUUUGCCCAACAGGGGCAAAUGCUUCUUCCCCAUCCAAAUCCCAAGUAUCCCAUAUCCCAUAUCACCCGGGGGGGGGGGGGCUCUCAAAUCCAAGAGGUAUGUAAUUGAUGUUCAGUACACUCAGUGGCCACUUUAUUAGGUACACCUGCUCGUUAAUGCAAAUAUCUCAUCAGCCAAUCAUGUGGCAGCAACUCAAUGCAUGAAGGCACGCAGACAUGGUCAAGAGGUUCAGUUGUUGUUCAGACUAAAUGUCAGAAGGGGGAAAAGUGUGAUCUAUGUGACUUUGACUGUGGAAUGAUCGUUGGUGCCAGAUGGGGUGGUUUGAGUAUCUCGGAAACUGCUGAUCUCCUGGGAUUUUCACGCAGAACGGUCUCUAGAAUUUACAGAGAAUGGUGCAAAAAACAAAACAAAACAUCCAGUGAGCGGCAGUUCUGUGGACAAAAGCAUCUUGUUAAUGAGAGAGGUCAGAGGAGAAUGACCAAACUGGUUCACGCUGACAGGAAGGUGACAGUAACUCAAAUAACCACACGUUACAACAGAGGUGUGCAGAAGAGCAUCUCUGAAUGCACAACGUGUUGAACCUUGAAGUGGACGGGCUACAGCAGCAGAAGACCAUGAACAUACAUUCAGUGGCCGCUUUAUUAGGUACAGGAGGUAUCUAGUAAAGCAGCCUGUAUCAUACACUCAUCAUCAUCAUUAUUGUGUGCCAUGUCAUAUGACAUCAUCAUAAUGUGCCAUGUUGUAUGACAUGGAUAAGCAUGGUCUUCGUAACUAUGAUUGUUCUUGGCAAAUUUUUGUACAGAAGUGGUUUGCCAUUGCCUUCUUCUGGGCAGUGUCUUUACAAGACAAGUGACCCCCCCCCCCCCCCAAGCCAUCAUCAACACUCUUCAGAGACUGUCUGCCUGGUCACAUAACCAGGACUUGUGAUAUUCACCAGCUGCUCAUAUGACCUGCUCCCAUGGCUUCACAUGACCCUGAUCAGGGUGCUAAUCAAGUGCUUCACCUUGUCCAAGGGUGACCUGCAGGCUAGCAGAGGGAGGGAGCACCUUACACCCCCUUUGGUAGAGACGCAUCUCCACCCCAACACCCAUUAUCACACACGUCUUCUUCUUCUCAGUCCCUUCGCUCCCAGUGGAGCGUAGGCCAUUGGUGACCUCCCGUUGCCGUUGUCCAAGGUUGACGGUAUGGUUGAAGUUCAUAAAGGUUUCUGAAAUUCAUCGUAUCCACUGUACAGGGGAUUGGCCUACACAGCUUCCCCAGAGCCCUGUUGCUGGACUUGCCCAUUUCCACCCCUUGUGACGGGGAUGCAGGGUUGGACUUUGAGGGGCAUUAUCAUACACUACUCGUCUUUAUUUAGUUCAUGACUCUGGAACCUGCUAAGUUUCCAAAGCUGCUCCGAUGCCCUUCCGCCUUCUCCACCCCCCCCCCCCCCAAAUUUCCAAUGGCACUCCCUGUAAGAUUGUGCAUUAUUCUCACGCCCUGAUGCAAGAGCUGUCAUGUAUAAGAGUAAGUGAAAAGAAUAAUCCCCGGCAAACCAUUAAUUACGGGCUUUCACGAAAACAAACGAGUUGUUUUUUUAUCCUCCUCAUGUAAGAAUAGAUUGUACACUGGCUCUUUUAAAAUCCAGGCUAGUUUAACAUUUAAAAGCAUGCCCUUGAUGUACACGUCCAACCAGUGCAAGAUACAUUUCACACCCGUACGAGAAAAAGACCAAAUAAUGGGUUGAGCAAUGAAAUGAAGAGUCCAGUUGUGUCAUUGCUAAGUUGCUGCAGCUACCACGCGUAAACAUUGCUGUAGACUGGGCUUGGGUUACCAUCGCUAAACUAGUUACCUCUCCAUGAAGGACAAUGCUUCUUAUAGGGAUAGAGUGCAGGAUAGUUAGAAGCCAACGGACAUGACGUUGAGGUAACCGGUAAAACAUAAGCCAAGUAUAGAUACCAACGUCUUAAUCUGAAGGGUGGAAGUUGAUCCAUGUUAACACUGGGAGUGUCUGAUGGCUCUGGGCCUGUACUCCCUGGAAUUCAGAAGAAUCAGGGUGGGAUCUCACUGAAACCUGUCGAAUGUUGGAAGGCCUCGAUGGAGAGGAUGUUUCCUAUGGUGGCGGAGUCUAAGACCAGAGGACACGGUCUCAGAAUAGAGGGGUGCCAUUUAGAAUGGAGACGAGGAGGAAUUUCUUUGACCAGAGCAUGGUGAAUCUGUGGAAUUCAUUGCCACAGGCGGCUGUGGAGGCCAAGUCAUUGGGUGUAUUUAAAGCGGAGGUUGAUAGAUUCUUGAUUAGUCAGGGAAUGAAGGGAUACGGAGAAAAGGUGGAAGAUGGGACCAUUCAGCCCAUCAAGUCUGCUCUGUCAUUCCAUCAUCUGAUUGAUGGUCCCUUUCAAGUUCAAGUACAUUGCCAUUUCAAAGAGAUUGUUGGAUGGGAGGGAUUAUUAACAAUGCAAAGAGCUCUGUGUGUGCAAUGCUCUGGAUAAAUAUCUCAGAUGGGAGAGAGAGAGACCCUGAUGAUUCACUCAGCAGUCCUCAGAAUCCUUUGUAGGGUCUUGCAGUCAGGUGCCUUGUAAUUUCCAUACCAGACGGUGACGCAGCUGGUCAGCACACUCUCAAUGGUACUCCUGGCUGGAAUGGGGGUUGGGGGAGGGAGCCUGGCUUGCCUCGAUCUCCUCAGGAAGCGGAGUCGCUGCUGUGCUUUUCUGAUCAAGUAAGUGGUAUUGGAGGACCAGGUGAGAUUGCCCGUAAUCUGCACUCACAGACACUUGGUGCUCCUAACGCUCUCCAUGGAGGACCCGUUUCUGUGCAGUGAGGAGUGAUCCGCCUGCACCUUCCUAAAGUCGACAAUUGUCCCUUUGAUCUUGUCCACACUGAGACUCAAAUUGUUGUGCUCAUACCAUUCUACCCCCUGUCCUCUCUUUGCGCCACCUCGUCGUCAUACUGAUGAGGCCAUCCGCCGUUGUGUCAUCAGCGAAUUUGGCGAUUCGGUUUAAGCUAGAUCCAACAGUUCAGUUGUGCACUGGCAACGUGAACAGCAGAGGACUGCGCACACGGCCCCGAGGGAUGAGGUGUUUACCGUGAGAGAUGCUGUCGCCAACGAGGACUGAUUGGUCUUUCUGUCAAAAAUUCCAAGGUCCAGUUACAGGGAAAGAUGUUGAGACCAAACGAUGACGGAUAACCCACCGGCUCCUGAGGGAUGAUCUGAGGGAGUGGCACGGUGGCUUAGUGAUUUGCACAACGUUUUACAGUACCAGUGACAUAGAAAACCUACAGCACAAUACAGGCCCUUCAGCCCCCAAAGUUGUGCCGAACACAUCCCUACCUUAGAAAUUACUAGGCUUGCCCAUAGCCCUCUAUUUUACCAAGAUCCAUGUACCUGUCUAAAAGUCUCUUAAAAGACCCUAUCGUAUCCGCCUCCACCACCGUUGCCAGCAGCCCAUUCCACACACUCACCACUCUCUGAGUAAAAAACUUACCCCUGACAUCUCCUCUCCCCAGCACCUUAAACCCGUGUCCUCUUGUGGCAACCAUUUCAGCCCUGGGAAAAAGCCUCUGACUAUCCACACGAUCAAUGCCUCUCAUCAUCUUAGACACCUCUAUCAGGACACCUCUCAUCCUACGUCGCUUCAAGGAGAAAAGGCCGAGCUCACUCGACCUGUUUUCAUAAGGCACGCUCCCCAAUCCAGGCAACAUCCUCAUAAAUCUCCUCUGAACCCUUCCUAUGGCUUCCACAGCCUUCCUGUAGUGAGGUGACCAGAACUGAGCACAGUACUCCAAGUGGGGUCUGACCAGGGUCCCAUAUAGCUGCAACAUUACUUCUCGGCUCCCAAGUUCAAUUCCAUAAUUGAUGAAGGCCAAUGCACUGUAUGACUUCUUAACGACCAUUCAUUUCAAGGGGUCCAGAAUACAAGAGCAGACUGUGAUGCGGAGGGUCCACAAGGCCCCACCCUGAGUACUGUCAACAGUUUUGGGCUACUUUUCCAGAAAAAGAUGUGCUGGCAUUGGAUAGGGUUCAGAGGAGGUUCACAAGGAUGAUUCUGGGAACGAAUGAAUGAAUGAGAGUUCAAUUCCCGCCACUGCCUGUAAGGAGUUUGUACGUUCUCCCCGUGACCGUGUGGGUUUCCUCCCACAGUCCAAAGGUGUACCAGUCAGUAAGCUAAUUGGUCGUUGUAUAUUGUCGUGUGGUUCAGGUAGGGUUAAAUCAGGCGUGGCUCAAAGUGCCAGAAGGGCCUAUUCUGUACUGUAUCAAAAUAAGUAAGUAUUAAACACCCAUUCUCCUACCUUCUGCAUAUAACCUUUGGUGCCCUUACUAAUCAAGAACCUAUCAACCUUAGCUCCGCAGCCAUCUGAAUUCCACAGACUCAUCACUCUGUGGCUAACAAAAUCCCUCCUCAUCUCUGCCCGAUGGAGAUAUCCUUGAAUUCUGAGGCUGUGCCCUCUGCUCCUAGACAUCUCCACUCCAAGUCAUUAAACAUCCUCUCCACAUCAUUAGAGAUCUUUAUUAAGGAGUCAGCACAGACACAGCAGCCUAAAUAGUCUUCUGUGCUCCCUGAUUCUAUUAUUCUACCUCUGGUAUAACUCCACUUUCCAUAAUUACAAUGGUGAUCGGUGUGGGCUGCUUCAUAAGGAGCAGAAUUAGGCCAUUCAGCCCAUUGUUUGCUCUGCUAUUUCAUCAUGGCUGAUCCAUUUCCCUCUUAACCCCAUUCUCCUGUUUACCUACUAUAGUCCUUUCAUGCCCUGACUAAUCAAGAACCUAUCAACCUCCACCUUAAAUGCACCCAACGCCCUGGCACCACAGCCACCUGUGGCAAUGAAUUCCACAGAUUCACCACCCUCUGGCUAAAGAAAAUCACCCUCAUCCCGUUCUAAAUGAAUGCCACUCUAAUCCGAGGCUGUGCCCCCUGGUCUUAGUCAUCCCCACCAUAGGAACCAUCCUCUCCACCUCCACUCUAUUAAGGCCUUUCAACGUUCGUUAGGUUUCAAUGAAAUCCCCCCCACCCCUUGUUCUUCUGAACUCUGGUGAGUACAGGCCAGAAUGUGGGGUUAUGGUGAUGUCUGUGGGGUGGGGUUCCCUCUUAUGGUGGACAGAAAGAUUAUGAGAGAGAAAUGACUUUGAUUCCCUUAUCCCGAGCCGUUCAGUUUACCUGCAAAUUCUCACUUCAAUUUGGCCAAACUCUCAACUGUUAAACUGGGCAAGGUGCUUUGAGGCAUGGUAGCAAGCACCCAUCACCUAAAUCAUGAUUCCCAGAGCUCCCCUGAUGUAUGAAUAGCACUUUAUCAAUAGAAACAAACUUUUUAAUCUUGAUUUAGUGAGUUUUGUUAAUUUCAGGCAAAUGGAUUCUUCAACUGAUGUAUUCUAUGACGUUGUAAAGUUUGGAGUUACAGAUGGGAACCUAGUGGCAAAACAAUACUUAUUCAUGUCAAGGUCGUUACGGUCUGAAAGCUGGCAAUCCUGGGACUUUCCAAAGGUCAAGGAGGAAACAAGGUUUUGAACGAGUUACAAUCCACUCCUAUACUACUUCUCCGUGGAUUGUCACCUUGUAGUGGUGGAGAAGCUUGUGUGGUCCUGAGAUCCCGAGAGCGAUGCCGUCUGGAGCUGUGCUCCUGGUAGGGUCACCCAUGGCGGUGAGGUCGAGGGUGAGGUCCCUGACAAAGAACAAUCCAACCAAGACUUCAACGGUGGAACAGGCGGACGAAGUCUCUUCAAGCUCAACGGCUGUGAAGGCAGAUGAAGGCUGCAACAAAUCCAUCAGCUCCCAUCACCGUGGUUUCCAUCCCACUGGAAUCAGUUGGUUGAUUUGUGAAGUAUCGUGUGCUUCUUGGAGUGCCACAUCAAGUUCACGUUAAACAAAUACACACCCAGGCAUCUUCGCUCUGUGGAAACGGAACAAAGACCAUCAUCCUCGACCUCGAGGGAUAGCCACGACAACAGCAACUUCUAUACUUGCACGGUGCACUUUUCUGUCAAACAUAAAAUUAAAUUUUGCGGCUUUAAAGGCCU